rnacentral:rRNA from 1 species
AAACUGAAGAGUUUGAUCAUGGCUCAGAUUGAACGCUGGCGGCAGGCCUAACACAUGCAAGUCGAGCGGUAGCAGGGGGUGCUUGCACCCCGCUGACGAGCGGCGGACGGGUGAGUAAUGCAUAGGAAUCUGCCCGGUAGUGGGGGAUAACCUGGGGAAACCCAGGCUAAUACCGCAUACGUCCUACGGGAGAAAGGGGGCUUCGGCUCCCGCUA